rnacentral:rRNA from 1 species
CGGGGGAUACUGCCAGACUUGGAACCGGGAGAGGUAAGAGGUACUACAGGGGUAGGAGUGAAAUCUUGUAAUCCCUGUGGGACCACCUGUGGCGAAGGCGUCUUACCAGAACGGGUUCGACGGUGAGGGACGAAAGCUGGGGGCACGAACCGGAUUAGAUACCCGGGUAGUCCCAGCCGUAAACGAUGCUCGCUAGGUGUCAGGCAUGGCGCGACCGUGUCCUGGUGCCGCAGGGAAGCCGUGAAGCGAGCCACCUGGGAAGUACGGCCGCAAGGCUGAAACUUAAAGGAAUUGGCGGGGGAGCACAACAACGGGUGGAAGCCUGCGGUUUAAUUGGACUCAACGCCGGACAACUCACCGGGGGCGACAGCAAUAUGUAGGCCAAGCUGAAGACUUUGCCUGAAUCGCUGAGUAGAGGUGCAUGG